GACGAACGCUGGCGGCGUGCCUAACACAUGCAAGUCGAGCGAAGUGAGUACUACGGUACGAACUUAGCGGCGGACGGGUGAGUAACGCGUGGACAACCUACCCUGUAGAUCGGGAUAACAUCGAGAAAUCGGUGCUAAUACCGGAUAAUCAUUUGAAGUGCAUGCUUCGAAUGUAAAAGAUGGCUCCGGCUAUCACUACGGGAUGGGCCCGCGGCGCAUUAGCUAGUUGGUAAGGUAAUGGCUUACCAAGGCAACGAUGCGUAGCCGACCUGAGGGGGUGAUCGGCCACACUGGGACUGAGACACGGCCCAGACUCCUACGGGAGGCAGCAGUAGGGAAUCUUCCGCAAUGGACGAAAGUCUGACGGAGCAACGCCGCGUGAGUGAUGAAGGUUUUCGGAUCGUAAAGCUCUGUUGUUAGGGAAGAACAAGUGCCGUUUGAAUAAGGCGGCACCUUGACGGUACCUAACCAGAAAGCCACGGCUAACUACGUGCCAGCCGCCGCCGUAACAC
rnacentral:rRNA from 1 species